rnacentral:rRNA from 1 species
GACGGAGGGUGCAAGCGUUGUUCGGAUUGACUGGGCGUAAAGGGCGUGUAGGCGGUUGCCCAAGUCCGAUGUGAAAGCCCGAGGCCUACCCUCGGAAGUGCAUCGGAAACUAGGCAGCUGGAGCGCGAUAGAGGAGGGUAGAAUUCCUGGUGUAGCGGUGAAAUGCGUAGAUAUCGGGAGGAACACCUGUGGCGAAAGCGGCGCACUGGACCACAACUGACGCUGAGGCGCGAAAGCAUGGGGAGCGAACGGG